UGGGACAGUGACGACGGGUGAGUACACGUAAGCAACCUGCCUUUAAGACGAGAAUAACAAUUGGAAACAGUUGCUAAGGCUGGAUAGGAAAUAAAAAGGCAUCUUUUUAUUUUUAAAAGACCUUUUUCGGAAGGUAUGCUUAAAGAGGGGCUUGCGUCACAUUAGUUAGUUGGUAGGGUAAAGGCCUACCAAGACGAUGAUGUGUAGCUGGACUGAGAGGUUGAACAGCCACAUUGGGACUGAGACACGGCCCAAACUCCUACGGGAGGCAGCAGUAGGGAAUUUUCGGCAAUGGAGGAAACUCUGACCGAGCAACGCCGCGUGAACGACGAAGUACUUCGGUAUGUAAAGUUCUUUUAUUGAAGAAGAAACAAUAGUGGAAAAACUAUCUUGACGUUAUUCAAUGAAUAAGCCCCGGCUAACUAUGUGCCAGCAGCCGCGGUAAUACAUAGGGGGCGAGCGUUAUCCGGAAUUAUUGGGCGUAAAGGGUGCGUAGGCGGUUUAAUAAGUCUCUAGUUUAAUUUCAACGCUUAACGUUGUCCUGCUAGAGAAACUGUUUAACUAGAGUGAGAUAGAGGUAAGCGGAAUUCCAUGUGUAGCGGUAAAAUGUGUAAAUACAUGGAGGAACACCAGAGGCGUAGGCGGCUUACUGGGUCUUUACUGACGCUGAUGCACGAAAGCGUGGGGAGCAAACAGGAUUAGAUACCCUGGUAGUCCACGCCGUAAACUAUGAGUACUAAGUGUCGGGGUUAAACUCGGUACUGAAGUUAACACAUUAAGUACUCCGCCUGAGUAGUACGUACGCAAGUAUGAAAUUUAAAGGAAUUGACGGGAUCCCGCACAAGCGGUGGAUCAUGUUGUUUAAUUCGAAGAUACACGAAAAACCUUACCAGGUCUUGACAUACUCUGCAAAGCUAUAGAAAUAUAGUGGAGGUUAUCAGGGAUACAGGUGGUGCAUGGUUGUCGUCAGCUCGUGUCGUGAGAUGUUAGGUAAAGUUCUAAAACGAGCGCAACCCCUGUCGUUAAUUGCCAGCACGUUAUGGUGGGGACUUUAGCGAGACUGCCAAUGAAAAAUUGGAGGAAGGUGGGGAUUACGUCAAAUCAUCAUGCCCCUUAUGAUCUGGGCUACAAACGUGAUACAAUGGCUAUUGCAAAGAGUAGCUGAAACGCGAGUUUUUGGCAAAUCUCAAAAAAAUAGUCUCAGUUCGGAUUGAAGUCUGCAACUCGACUUCAUGAAGUUGGAAUCGCUAGUAAUCGCGAAUCAGCAUGUCGCGGUGAAUACGUUCUCGGGGUUUGUACACACCGCCCGUCAAACCACGAAAUGACAUCAGCCA
rnacentral:rRNA from 1 species